UUGAGGAAGCGGUGACCAUGGAGGUGGAGGAGGAGGAUGAGGUAGCCAACACUGUUUUUAUAUAUAUAUAUAUAUAUAUAUUUUAUUUAUUUUUUUAUUUUAUUUUUUUAUUGGGAUAGCCCCCAGAAUAUUGGGACAUAUAAAAAAAGACAACUCUCUUCAGCAGAGUAGCUGUUGACAUUAUAGUUGCGCAGGAACUUUGUUGACUCUAGAGAACCUCAGGCAAAUCGCAUAUCCCCAUGGCGGCGACUUUGCAUGCAGAUAUCAUCCAUAUCAACUUUCGAUGCCAGUUUCUGCGCCUACCAUGGUGACCACGGGUAACGGGGAAUUAGGGUUCCAUUCCGUACAGGGACCCUGAGAAAUGGCUACCACAUGCAAGGCAGGCAGGAGGCGCACAAAUGACCCACUCCCGACACGGGAAGGUAAUGACGACAAAUAACAAUAUUUUAGAGGCCCUGUAAUUGUAAUGAGUCCACUUGAAAUCCGUUAAUUCUGAUCAAUUGGAGGGAAGUCUGGUGCAGAGCCACUGACCCGUGCGUGCUGCAGCUAA